rnacentral:rRNA from 1 species
UACGAGGGGGGCGAGCGUUGUUCGGAAUUAUUGGGCGUAAAGGGCGCGUAGGCGGCCAUUCAAGUCGGGGGUGAAAGCCCAGGGCUCAACCCUGGAAUUGCCUUCGAUACUGUUUGGCUGGAGACCGGAAGAGGUAAGUGGAACUGCGAGUGUAGAGGUGAAAUUCGUAGAUAUUCGCAAGAACACCAGUGGCGAAGGCGGCUUACUGGUCCGGUUCUGACGCUGAGGCGCGAAAGCGUGGGGAGCAAACAGG